UUUACAUUUCUAGUUACUCAGUUCCAAUUUAUGUAUGAACUGGCUAAGCCAAAACCACUCUGACUAUUGGAUUUGUAGACAUUUUCCUUUGGAAGCCACCCAGCUUCCCUUGGUACCAGUUCUUUGUAAUAAAGCAUUGGUUUAGUGGGUAAUUGAACUCAACUAAUAAUUAAGGAACUUUAGAUAGCAAAUACCACAACAGGCCAGAAACACAGAAAUCUUACAGGCAUGAGCCAUUUUUUUUUUUUUUUGAGACAGAGUCUUGCUCUGUUGCCCAGGCUGGAAUGCAGGGGUGUGGUCAACAAGAGGCCCAUAGUUCCCAGGGCUUUCCACCAUAGGUCUCAAAGUAACCCUUACAAAGCCACCUGGUAUUGUUCUCUUGCCUUUCUUUUUUCUGUUUUCUGUUCAUUCCCUUAUUUUUGUUUCCAUACUGCCUAUGUUUUAUUUCAUACUAGUUAUGUCUGUUCCUUUAUUUUUGUUUUGCCUUUUUUACGGGUGGGAUUUGAAAAAGGAAGAUAGAGAAUACUUUUUAUAAAAUUAUAAAGAAGACCAAUCUUCUUGAAAAUAUUGAUAAUCUGAUAAAUUGCCAACAAUAACCAUCUGAGGCCUAAGCAAGCGUUUGUGAUUCUUCAAACGAAAAGCUUCAAAUUCACUCCAACUAAGAAAAUCACUUCCUCCAUCUAGUGGUGACUGAUUGUAAUGCUACCGAAUUCUAGAACACUUUUCAACUUUUUUAAAAUGUCGUUUUGUUUUUAUACCUAUGCUUGGGUCAGAUAAUUGUAUUUAUGUGGGAAAUUAGGCUAAAUUGUGUUAGUUUUCUUAAACAUUUUACUACAAUCUGAAGAAACACGGCAUUACUAUCUGCAAUAUUUUAUCUCUGAGCCAAAAUGCAUAAAACAUAGCCCUUACCAUUGUAGGGCUUACAAUUGAGCUAGGGAGACUUGACAUAUAUGUAUGAAAGGAUAAACUAAAAAGAACACACAUGAACUCUCAAAUGGGUGAUAAAGGCAAUGUCAGGGCUCAGAACGCAAUGCUCUAAAACAUGGCAUCUUGGCGUACUGAGUAUUUUCAGCUGAAGGAAAUUGAGAAAACCACAAAGCAGAAGGUCUCUCUCACCUUCUCUCUUGAAGGCCUUCAUGUGACAGGUGUCCUGGAGGGGAGAAAUGUUUCACAGAGAUGCUAAAAAGAAUCUGAACAAGCAGGCCUUGCU
rnacentral:lncRNA from 10 species